rnacentral:rRNA from 1 species
GACGAACGCUGGCGGCGUGCUUAACACAUGCCAGUCGAACGGAAAGGCCCUGCUUUUGUGGGGUGCUCGAGUGGCGAACGGGUGAGUAACACGUGAGUAACCUGCCCUUGACUUUGGGAUAACUUCAGGAAACUGGGGCUAAUACCGGAUAGGAGCUCCUGCUGCAUGGUGGGGGUUGGAAAGUUUCGGCGGUUGUGGAUGGACUCGCGGCUUAUCAGCUUGUUGGUGGGGUAGUGGCUUACCAAGGCUUUGACGGGUAGCCGGCCUGAGAGGGUGACCGGCCACAUUGGGACUGAGAUACGGCCCAGACUCCUACGGGAGGCAGCAGUGGGGAAUAUUGCAGAAUGGGCGGAAGCCUGAUGCAGCAACGCCGCGUGCGGGAUGACGGCCUUCGGGUUGUAAACCGCUUUCGCCUGUGACGAAGCGUGAGUGACGGUAAUGGGUAAAGAAGCACCGGCUAACUACGUG